GACGAACGCUGGCGGCGUGCUUAACACAUGCAAGUCGAACGGAAAGGCCCCUUUGGGGGUACUCGAGUGGCGAACGGGUGAGUAACACGUGAGUAACCUGCCCUUGACUUCGGGAUAACUUCAGGAAACUGGGGCUAAUACCGGAUAGGAAUCCUUGCUGCAUGGUGGGGGUUGGAAAGCUUCGGCGGUGUUGGAUGGACUCGCGGCUUAUCAGCUUGUUGGUGGGGUAGUGGCUUACCAAGGCUUUGACGGGUAGCCGGCCUGAGAGGGCGACCGGCCACAUUGGGACUGAGAUACGGCCCAGACUCCUACGGGAGGCAGCAGUGGGGAAUAUUGCACAAUGGGCGGAAGCCGGAUGCAGCAACGCCGCGGGCGGGAGGACGGCCUUCGGGUUGUAAACCGCUUUCAGCAGGGGCGAAGCUUGUGGUGACGGUACCUGCAGAAGAAGCACCGGCUAACUACGUG
rnacentral:rRNA from 1 species